rnacentral:lncRNA from 1 species
GGGGGAAAAGAAGAGGGGGUCGCGGGGGUUAUAUAGACGUGCUCGGGCGUGAAAAUGGAAGGCCGGAGGAGGAGAUUGCGGCGGCGGGCGUGCGGGGACGGCGGCCGGAAAUCGCGCGCGUGACCGGCGGCGCUUUCCUUCGGGGAAGACGCAGCUGACAGGUGGACCCCACCUGUCAGCGACUGCGGGCGUGCGCGCGCGGACCGGGCGGUCUGGGCCGGUCGGGCGCGGUUGGACUGGGCCGGUUCGGCCCAUUUUGGCCGGGCCGGUCCGGUUUACCUUUUUUUUUUCUUUUAGGCCUUUUCUCUUUCUGUUUUUUCCAUUUCUUUGAUAUCUUUUGUGUUUGAACUCCAAAUUGGUCCGAACAAAUUCCAGAAAAUUUGUAAAAUCAUGUUCUACCAAGAUACAACUUUUAGAAGUAGUUUCUCUUCAAAAUAAAAUAUGUAAAAAUACAUUUGCCCUAUAAAUGCCUUUAGGGCCAUAUAUCUGUUUAAAUAAAAUACUUUUUCAACUCCAAACAAUUAUUCAAAAAUUAUGUGAUAGCUCAUAUGUGCACUAAACCCCUUUUAUAUAUAAACUUUAAUGGUUUGAAGAUCCAAAGCUCAAAUGGGUGUAAACCCUAGGGUUUAAAAUGAAAUAAAGAAUCUUUCUAAAGCCUUUUGAGAUUGAAAAUUUGAAUUCAAACAUGCAAUUGUAGCAUGAUGUUUAUGAAUGCAAUGCUCAUGUAAAGGUUUGAAAUUUUGGGAUGUUACAGACCUAACCCCCUUAAGAUGAAUCUCGUCCUCGAGAUUCGGUGUGGUUAGCAAAGAGGUGUGGGUGGUCUUCUCGAAGAUCAUCCUCGCGUUCCCAAGUGGCUUCUUCUUCUGUGUGAUGGUACCACUGGACCUUGCAAAACUUGAUGGUCUUGGAUCGGGUGUGUCUCUCAGCUGUAUCCAAGAUCCUGACCGGUUUCUCCUCAUAGGUGAUGUCACUCUGUAAUUGGACUUCCUCAAGUGGAAUCGUAUCCCUCAGGGGUGUGUCGGCCAUCUCGGGGUGACACUUCUUCAGUUGCGAUACAUGGAAGACAUUGUGGACGUUUGACAGUGCUUCUGGCAAAUCCAACUUGUAGGCUACCUCUCCUUGUCGCGACAAUAUCUUGAAAGGUCCGACGAAUCGGGUUGCUAACUUCCCUCUUAUACCAAAUCUCUUGACACCGCGUAUCGGUGAAACUCUGAGAUACGCUCUAUCUUCAGCUUCAUAGGUAACCUCCC